ACAGUUCCACAGAGGCGUACAAGUAAACAAUGAGACAAUACUGGUCAGCAUGAUAGGCAGUCGUCUCUGCAACCAGCAGCCCAGCCAUUGUCAAGUU